AGUUAUUGAAGUUUUGCUAGCAAUAAAUCAGGUGAUAAAAAAGGGAAAUACAGUGGGUUUUAUGUGGAUACCUGCACAUGUGGGGAUUCAGGGAAAUGAAGAAGCUGAUGAGAUGGCAAAAAAGGCCACAUAUAAGAGCGCAGUUGAUUUGAAAGUAAUGUAUGGAAGAAUAGAGUGUAAAACUAUUAUACGGGGAAAAAUAAAGGAAUUAUGGCAGAAAGAAUGGGAAAAAGGAAAUAAAGGCAGACACUAUUUCUCAAUACAACCCACAUUAAUGCACACACCAAACACAAGAUUAGAGAGGAGGGAUCGUGUGGUAAUCACUAGAUUAAGACUGGGACAUUGUGCACUGAAUUUUGGGCUGGCAAGAGUAGGCAAACAUCCUGAUGGUAGAUGUGAGUGUGGAGAAUUAGAAACUGUGAAACAUGUAGUAAUGGAAUGUGAAAAUCUUCAUGAUGCAAGAACUCGCAUGUUUUCUGAGCUGAUGGAUUCAGGAAUAUCAUCUUUAUCUUUAAAAACGAUUCUUGGAAAUAUGGAUUAUGUAACAGCAAAGGCUUUAAUAAUUUUUUUACUCCACACCGGUCUUUACUCAAGGAUAUAAACUGUGAGGCAAAGUUCUUCAGAUGAACUGUGGAGGGCAGUAAUACACCAUAGCAGUGUCUAAACUGCCGCAAAUCAUACAAGAAGAAGAAGAAGAAGCAGCCAGGAGGAAAGCAAUCUUCCACACUCGUUUGGUCUUGUGUCAAAGCUGUGUGAAACUGGAGGGAGAAACUUGAGAGACCGUGCCGGAAGAAUGCUGGACAGAGUUCCCUAAAAUUCAUUAAUUUCAAAGUUCAACAUGAAUGGUGGUGGUCCACUGCAGAAGCAAGCAUUUGAAAAAACAUCAGUUCUCAGUUAUUAAAGAUGCUGUGUUGAACAACUUCCCAGCAGCAACAGAACUGGAAGUGAAGGAUGCAAUGGGGGCAUUUCAAACAGGCCGUGGUGUAUAGAAAUGAGUACAAUUAAUAAGUUGAAGUGAACUGAAGAUAGUUUGUUAAUGUUUAGAUGUUAUUUCAUUUUUAAAAUUGUAUUUUGUUAUUUAUGCUUUUAUUUUGUUACUGUUUUUAUUCUUUUUGUUAAAAGUAGUUUUUCUUCAUUUUGUCUUAUCUGAAUUUCUAUUGUAUUAAUACUAUUUUUUGUAAUAAAUUGCAUGAUUACAUGUUUAUGAGAACCUUUUUUAAUGGAUUAAAAAGAAUUCUUUAGCCA